rnacentral:rRNA from 1 species
UGGGGAAUAUUGGACAAUGGGCGAAAGCCUGAUCCAGCCAUGCCGCGUGUGUGAAGAAGGUCUUCGGAUUGUAAAGCACUUUAAGUUGGGAGGAAGGGCAUUAACCUAAUACGUUAGUGUUUUGACGUUACCGACAGAAUAAGCACCGGCUAACUCUGUGCCAGCAGCCGCGGUAAUACAGAGGGUGCAAGCGUUAAUCGGAAUUACUGGGCGUAAAGCGCGCGUAGGUGGUUUGUUAAGUUGGAUGUGAAAUCCCCGGGCUCAACCUGGGAACUGCAUUCAAAACUGACUGACUAGAGUAUGGCAGAGGGUGGUGGAAUUUCCUGUGAAGCGGUGAAAUGCGUAGAUAUAGGAAGGAACACCAGUGGCGAAGGCGACCACCUGGACUAAUACUGACACUGAGGUGCGAAAGCGUGGGGAGCAAACA